GCUCCCGUAGUUUAACGGAUAAAAUUUCAGAUUCCGGUUCUGAAGCUAUGGGUUCGAAUCCCGUCGGGAGCA
rnacentral:tRNA from 1 species